AAUGAACGCUGGCGGCAUGCCUAACACAUGCAAGUCGAACGAAGCCUUCGGGUUUAGUGGCGCACGGGUGCGUAACGCGUGGGAAUCUGCCCCUUGGUUCGGAAUAACAGUUGGAAACGACUGCUAAUACCGGAUGAUGACGUAAGUCCAAAGAUUUAUCGCCGAGGGAUGAGCCCGCGUAGGAUUAGGUAGUUGGUGUG
rnacentral:rRNA from 1 species